rnacentral:rRNA from 1 species
GAUGAACGCUGGCGGCGUGCCUAAUACAUGCAAGUCGAGCGAACGGACGAGAAGCUUGCUUCUCUGCUGUUAGCGGCGGACGGGUGAGUAACACGUGGAUAACCUACCUAUAAGACUGGGAUAACUUCGGGAAACCGGAGCUAAUACCGGAUAAUAUUUUGAACCGCAUGGUUCAAAAGUGAAAGACGGUCUUGUUGUAACUUAUAGAUGGAUCCGCGCUGCAUUAGCUAGUUGGUAAGGUAACGGCUUACCAAGGCAACGAUGCAUAGCCGACCUGAGAGGGUGAUCGGCCACACUGGAACUGAGACACGGUCCAGACUCCUACGGGAGGCAGCAGUAGGGAAUCUUCCGCAAUGGGCGAAAGCCUGACGGAGCAACGCCGCGUGAGUGAUGAAGGUCUUCGGAUCGUAAAACUCUGUUAUUAGGGAAGAACAUAUGUGUAAGUAACUGUGCACAUCUUGACGGUACCUAAUCGGAAAGCCACGGCUAACUACGUG